rnacentral:hammerhead_ribozyme from 1 species
AUCCAGCUGAUGAGUCCCAAAUAGAACGAAACGCGUGUCCUGGAU